rnacentral:rRNA from 1 species
UACGGAGGAUGCAAGCGUUAUCCGGAAUUACUGGGCGUAAAGCGUGCGCAGGCGGCUUCGCAAGUCAGACGUGAAAUCCCCGGGCUUAACCUGGGAAUGGCGUUUGAAACUACGGAGCUGGAGUGUGGCAGAGGGAGGUAGAAUUCCACGUGUAGCGGUGAAAUGCGUAGAUAUGUGGAGGAAUACCGAUGGCGAAGGCAGCCUCCUGGGCCAACACUGACGCUCAUGCACGAAAGCGUGGGGAGCAAACAGG